rnacentral:rRNA from 1 species
AGAGUUUGAUCCUGGCUCAGAACGAACGCUGGCGGCGUGCUUAACACAUGCAAGUUGAACGAGAGGCAGUAGCAAUACUGUAGUAAAGUAGCAGACGGGUGAGUAACACGUGGGAAACUUCCUUUUAGUUCGGAAUAGCCCAGGGAAACUUGGAUUAAUACCGGAUACGCCCUACGGGGGGAAAGAUUUAUCGCUAAAAGAUGUGCCCGCGUUAGAUUAGGUAGUUGGUGGGGUAAUGGCCUACCAAGCCUACGAUCUAUAGCUGGUCUGAGAGGAUGAUCAGCCACACUGGGACUGAGACACGGCCCAGACUCCUACGGGAGGCAGCAGUGGGGAAUAUUGGACAAUGGGCGCAAGCCUGAUCCAGCAACGCCGCGUGAAUGAUGAAGGCCUUCGGGUCGUAAAGUUCUUUUGGCAGGGAAGAAAAUGACGGUACCUGCAGAAUAAGCUCCGGCUAACUUCGUGCCAGCAGCCGCGGUAAUACGAAGGGGGCUAGCGUUGUUCGGAAUUACUGGGCGUAAAGUGUGCGUAGGUUGUUAUUCAAGUUAGUGGUGAAAGCCCAGAGCUCAACUCUGGAACUGCCAUUAAAACUGAAUAGCUAGAGAGUGUUAGAGGUGAGUGGAAUUUCUAGUGUAGGAGUGAAAUCCGUAGAUAUUAGAAGGAACAUCAAUGGCGAAGGCAGCUCACUGGGUCACAUCUGACACUGAGGCACGAAAGCGUGGGUAGCAAACAGGAUUAGAUACCCUGGUAGUCCACGCCCUAAACGAUGGAUGCUAGAUGUCGGGACAUUAGUUUCGGCGUCGUAGUUAACGCGUUAAGCAUCCCGCCUGGGGAGUACGGUCGCAAGAUUAAAACUCAAAGGAAUUGACGGGGAUCCGCACAAGCGGUGGAGCAUGUGGUUUAAUUCGAGGCAACGCGAAGAACCUUACCAGGACUUGACAUCCUUUCUAAACCCUUUGUAAUGAAGGGCUCGGUUCGGCCGGGGAAGAGACAGGUGCUGCAUGGCUGUCGUCAGCUCGUGUCGUGAGAUGUUGGGUUAAGUCCCGCAACGAGCGCAACCCUCAUCAUUAGUUACCAGCGAGUUAUGUCGGGGACUCUAAUGAAACUGCCUAUGACAAGUAGGAGGAAGGCGGGGAUGACGUCAAGUCAGCACGGCCCUUACGUCCUGGGCCACACACGUGCUACAAUGGUGGUGACAAUGGGCUGCAACCUGGCAACAGGAAGCUAAUCUCAAAAAACCAUCUCAGUUCGGAUUGUCCUCUGCAACUCGAGGGCAUGAAGCUGGAAUCGCUAGUAAUCGCAUAUCAGCAGGAUGCGGUGAAUACGUUCCCGGGUCUUGUACACACCGCCCGUCACACCAUGGGAGUUGGUUCUACCUUAAGUCGGCCCUUAGAAGCCGCCCACGGUAGGGUCAAUGACUGGGGUGAAGUCGUAACAAGGUAGCAGUAGGGGAACCUGCGGCUG